GCGAAGAGGCUAUUAGCUUAGACAGCAGAUGCAUAUUUUAUGAUUGACCGGCCUUACAAAGCAAAAUAGCGUGGCACGAUCGUUUGCUUCUGGCGCAAAGUAAAUGAUAAAAAAAAUCGCUUCGCCAUCGAGAUUUACGUGCGACCGCCACCGUGCUUAUAAAAAGCACUUGAAAGCUCGUCACUCAAACAGGCUUUGCCUUUGCUUUUGAAGCCGAAUGUAUAUUUAGUCCUUUAGGGUUAGGAGCCAUUUAACUAUGAAGUUUAUACUAUUUUUAAAUGGAAAUUAAUGUUGAAAUAUAUUUAUGGAGUUUUAUCUAAAGUCUGUCUACAAGGUUUUUCCUUAAACCAAACCUAUGCGAUUCUUCUUUGAGUUACCAGGUCGUCAAUAAUAAACAAGCAAGGCAAAAUACCCCGCGGGCAACUACAGGCAAAAAAGAGGUCUAAAAGAGAAAAUCCCUCUGCUUUACUAAUCGGUAAACGGGUGUCACAAAAAUGUAUCUACAGCUUCUAAAAUCUAAUAUCUACUAAACCUUUCCUUUUAAAAGAAAUCCUGAGAAAAUUAUUUAUGUCUGCUGUUCAAUCUGCUACCUCAUUAGAGUGGAAUGUUCUGCGCGUCGUUUUGAGCUUGGAUUCAAUAACCACCAUGAUCAG